AGUCUGGUGCCAGCAGCCGCGGUAAUUCCAGCUCCGCAGGUGUAUAUCUAUGCUGCUGCGGUUAAAAAGCUCGUAGUUGGAUCUGCGUGCUCGGAACUGGUUGGCUCACUGAGUUCAAACUGGUCUCCGGCGCUUUAUUGGCUGGUUUUCCCUUGAUGCUCUUAACCGGGUGUCUUGGGUGGCUAGCACGUUUACUUUGAAAAAAUUAGAGUGCUCAAUACAGGCGUAAAGCCUGAAUAGUGGUGCAUGGAAUAAUAGAAUAGGACCUCGGCUCUAUUUUGUUGGUUUUCGGAACGCGAGGUAAUGAUUAAGAGGGACAGACGGGGGCAUUCGUAUUGCGACGUUAGAGGUGAAAUUCUUGGAUCGUCGCAAGACGGACGACUGCGAAAGCAUUUGCCAAGAAUGUUUUCAUUAAUCAAGAACGAAAGUUAGAGGUUCGAAGGCGUUCAGAUACCGCCCUAGUUCUAACCGUAAACGAUGCCAACUAGCGAUUCGCAGGCGUUAAACAACGACCUUGCGGGCAGCUUCCCGGAAACGAAAGUGUUCGGGUUCCGGGGGAAGUAUGGUUGCAAAGCUGAAAACUUAAAGGAAUUGACGGAAGGGCACCACCAGGAGUGGAGCCUGCGGCUUAAUUUGACCCAACACGGGAAAACUCACCCGGCCCGGACACCGUAAGGAUUGACAGAUUGAGAGCUCUUUCUUGAUUCGGUGGGUGGUGGUGCAUGGCCGUUCUUAGUUGGUGGAGCGAUUUGUCUGGUUUAUUCCGAUAACGAACGAGACUCUGGCCUACUAAAUAGUGGGCGGAUUCUUUCUGUCCGCAACACUUCUUAGAGGGACAAGCGGUGUUCAGCCGCACGAGAUUGAGCAAUAACAGGUCUGUGAUGCCCUUAGAUGUCCGGGGCUGCACGCGCGCUACACUGAAGGAAUCAGCGUGCUUUCUGACCUUGCCCGAAAGGGCUGGGUAACCCGAUGAAAAUCCUUCGUGAUUGGGAUAGGGACUUGCAAUUAUUUCCCUUGAACGAGGAAUUCCCAGUAAGUGUGGGUCAUAAGCUCGCGUUGAUUACGUCCCUGCCCUUUGUACACACCGCCCGUCGCUGCCCGGAACUGAGCCGUUUCGAGAAGAACAGGGACCGUCGUUGAAGGGCCUUAACGGGCUUUUCUCUGAUAGAAACUGUU
rnacentral:rRNA from 1 species